GGCAACUGCGCAUGUGUAUUUGAAUGGCGACGUUCAGACGGUGCUACUUAAGUCGCCGCGACUGAUGAACUGACGCGAUUAGUCAACUGGCAGACUAGACAUGCCGGUCUCCACGCCACUUUGGUUGAUCUAGUUGCUAGGUAAUUUUUAUUUCGUGAAAUAGUAAAAUAGUAAAAUAGUAUAACAUGGUUAAGAAUUUUAAUAUAAAAUUUGUGCAACUAAUAGAAAAGCAUCCCAAGCUAUAUAAUUAUACGUUAAAAAUCUCUCCAGAAGAAAUUUAACGGAAAAAGCUUGGAGUGAAGUAGCCAUAGAAGUUAAGCUCACAGUAAACGAGUGUAAAGAAAAAUGGAAGAACCUCCGUUCCGUAUUUGUCCGUCAUAUGAAACCCCCUGCAAAAGGUUCCAGUUUUAAAAAUAAAAAACCUUAUUAUUUGACAGAAUUCAUGCAAUUUGUGCUUCCAUUCAUAAGAGCAUGGGUACACCAGUUGGAAAUUUAUCUGAUUUCCCUCAACAAAGUCCAACUGAGCUAGCACAAGAUUCUGCAGAUCAGACACAAAACGAAAUAGAUAAUGACGAAGAAUAUGAAGAUUUUUAACUAUCAUACGUAGAUAAUGAUCUGUUAUCACCCAACUGUCCUACCUAACUACCUUCAUGUCCAAUACAAGUACAACAAGACAAUGUUUCUAAUGAAAAAUCGUUAAGUGAUACAUGUAAAAUACCUUUAACUUCAAGGAAAGGAAAAUUUCAGAAGAGAGGAAAUACUGAUGUGGACAAAUCCUUUAUGGAGUACUUAAAUAUGAAAAAAAAAAUGAUCACCACCUUCUUUUUGAACGAAUAUUUUUGUAGGAGCGAAGACUAGCGAACGUGAACGAGCGAACAAUGUAAACGGUUGUGGCCGA